GCCGUGUGUGGAGGCCAUCCACCGCCUCCCCGAUGGCUACAAGGGCAACCCCAAGCUCCACCUCUCUUCCCCGGUCGAACCCUAGUCGCCACUCCUCAUCCCCAUCUUGCCUCUCUCACCCAAGAUUCAGCCGCGCGUGACGCGGUCGUCGCCGAGUUGCCGUCGUGCACAUGGCCACCGACCCUCUCCCCGCCACGCCGACGAGCCCUGGAGGACUGCCGUCGUCUACCUCACCCUCUGCGCCACCGGAUUGGAGCCGGGAGCCCCCAUCUCCGUCGCCCACAUCGUCUUUGUCUCGGGUCGUCACUGUCAGCCGUCUUCGAUCCGCUCCACCCCGAGCCUCUCCGGCAUCCCCGAGCUCGCUUUUGCACGACUACAGGGCCCCGAGAGUGAAAAAUUACAAGAGUUGGCCCCUACGUCUACGCUUAAGAACACAGUGGUAGAUCGGUGGUGCCUACUCCGCGACAGACUUCCCAUUAAUCCAAGGACCAGCCCAGAAGCAACAAGAGUUGUCGGCCCACAAUGUCUAAGAAGUCUAAUCCCUAAACAUUGGGAGAGCCUCCGCAUCAAUGAGAAGGUGCAAGUUACUCCAUUAACGGGAGGGGGCGGUGCGUUGAAGCAAGUCCAUCCCGGUUUAAGUUCUAAACUUAGUACAAAUGCUCGUAUUUUCAGAUUUAUUUUGGACUUUCCAAGGAUAUUCAUUUAAUGAGGUUGAUAUCUUGUGAGCUAUUAGGUGACUAUUGUGACUUUGUCAAUAAUAAGAUUUGCCUUCUCGA